rnacentral:rRNA from 1 species
AACGAACGCUGGCGGCAGGCUUAACACAUGCAAGUCGAGCGCACUCUUCGGAGUGAGCGGCGGACGGGUUAGUAACGCGUGGGAACGUGCCCUUCUCUAAGGAAUAGCCUCUGGAAACGGAGAGUAAUACCUUAUACGCCCUUUGGGGGAAAGAUUUAUCGGAGAAGGAUCGGCCCGCGUUAGAUUAGAUAGUUGGUGGGGUAAUGGCCUACCAAGUCUACGAUCUAUAGCUGGUUUGAGAGGAUGAUCAGCAACACUGGGACUGAGACACGGCCCAGACUUCUACGGAAGGCAGCAGUGGGGAAUCUUGGACAAUGGGCGCAAGCCUGAUCCAGCCAUGCCGCGUGAGUGAUGAAGGCCUUAGGGUCGUAAAGCUCUUUCACCAGGGAUGAUAAUGACAGUACCUGGAAAAGAAACCCCGGCUAACUCCGUGCCAGCAGCCGCGGUAAUACGGAGGGGGUUAGCGUUGUUCGGAAUUACUGGGCGUAAAGCGCACGUAGGCGGACUAAUCAGUCAGAGGUGAAAUCCCAGGGCUCAACCCUGGAACUGCCUUUGAUACUGUUAGUCUAGAGUUCGAGAGAGGUGAGUGGAAUUCCGAGUGUAGAGGUGAGAUUCGUAGAUAUUCGGAGGAACACCAGUGGCGAAGGCGGCUCACUGGCUCGAUACUGACGCUGAGGUGCGAAAGUGUGGGGAGCAAACAGGAUUAGAUACCCUGGUAGUCCACACCGUAAACGAUGAAUGCCAGUCGUCGGGUAGUAUACUAUUCGGUGACACACCUAACGGAUUAAGCAUUCCGCCUGGGGAGUACGGUCGCAAGAUUAAAACUCAAAGGAAUUGACGGGGGCCCGCACAAGCGGUGGAGCAUGCGGUUUAAUUCGAAGCAACGCGCAGAACCUUACCAACCCUUGACAUCCUGUGCUA